rnacentral:pre_miRNA from 1 species
UUUGUUUUAGCCUGAGCUAUGUGUUAUUGCAUAUUCAUAGCUACUUGCUAAAACAUACC